rnacentral:rRNA from 1 species
AUAUUCCUACGGGAAGCAGCAGUGAGGAAUUUUUCACAAUGGACGAAAGUCUGAUGGAGCAAUACCACGUGAACGAUGAAGGUCUUCUGAUUGUAAAGUUCUUUUAUUUAGGAAAAAAAGCGCGCUAGGAAAUGAGCGCGCCUUGAUGGUACUAAUUGAAUAAGUGACAGCUAACUAUGUGCCAGCAGCUGCGGU